rnacentral:SRP_RNA from 2 species
GCUGGGUGUGGUGGCACACACCUGUAAUCCCAGCUACUUGGGAGGCUGAGGCAGGAGAAUCGCUUGAACCCAGGAGGCAGAGGUUGCAGUGAGCCAAGAUCGUGCCACUGCACUCCAGCCUGGGUGACAGAGCGAGACUCCGUCUCAA